ensembl:snoRNA
GACCUCCCAGGGUGGCAUCUGGAGAGUGACUAGUCAUCUUCAGGGAUGGGAAGGGAAGCAAGUCUGGCAUAUAUAAGGUGAGGCUCUAUUCCCACCUUGUUCAGUAGCUGACAACUGGAAGAACUGCAAAAUGU